CAGCACCUCAAGUGGUCAGGAUGAUUAUUGGGCCUAAAGCAUCCGUAGCCGGCUCUGUAAGUUUUCGGUUAAAUCUGUACGCUCAACGUACAGGCUGCCGGGAAUACUGCAGAGCUAGGGAGUGGGAGAGGUAGACGGUACUCGGUAGGAAGGGGUAAAAUCCUUUGAUCUAUUGAUGACCACCUGUGGCGAAGGCGGUCUACCAGAACACGUCCGACGGUGAGGGAUGCAAGCUGGGGGAGCAAACCGGAUUAGAUACCCGAGUAGUCC
rnacentral:rRNA from 1 species